UACGGGGGGGGUAAGCGUUGUUCGGAAUUACUGGGCGUAAAGGGCUCGUAGGCGGCCAACUAAGUCGGACGUGAAAUCCCUCAGCUUAACUGGGGAACUGCGUCCGAUACUGGAUGGCUUGGAUUCGGGAGAGGAAUGCGGAAUUCCAGGUGUAGCGGUGAAAUGCGUAGAUAUCUGGAGGAACACCGGUGGCGAAGGCGGCAUUCUGGACCGAUAUUGACGCUGAGGAGCGAAAGCCAGGGGAGCAAACGGG
rnacentral:rRNA from 1 species